UACGUAGGGUGCAAACGUUGCCCGGAAUUAUUGGGCGUAAAGCGCACGUAGGCGGUAUUGCAAGUCGGAUGUGAAAUCCCUCGGCUUAACCAAGGAAGUGCAUCCGAAACUGCCGUACUUGAGUACUUAAGAGGAUCGCGGAAUUCCCGGUGUAGAGGUGAAAUUCGUAGAUAUCGGGAGGAACACCAGUGGCGAAGGCGGCGAUCUGGGAAGAUACUGACGCUGAGGUGCGAAAGCGUGGGGAGCGAACAGG
rnacentral:rRNA from 1 species